rnacentral:lncRNA from 1 species
AAACAGGGGACUUAUUUUUAGUGUAUGCUUUGUACACAGUAGCUUAUUCUUGAUCUAUCAUUGACACAAGGGAGUACAGUAAGGAAGAAACUAGGUGCAGAAAUUGAUAGACAAUAGACCAAGAAACAAGGUCCAGAAACUGAGAGACCACAGACCACGGUCAGGUAACCUACUAACCUUUGCUAAACUGUCUGAAACUCCACACCUGCUCACAGCGCCUCUAUGAAAGAAUUGGCGCCCAGAUCCUCAGAUUUGCCACUAUGAACUACGAACAACUUCAUUACUUC